AUCGUCAACACCGUCGAACCUUAACCUCUCUUUCGUUUCUUUUUAAAUCUUUUUAAACGCGACGCGAAUUCGAAAGAGUUUUCCUUUCUUGAAUCGAUGGGGCCCCGUGCACAAUGGAACGCGUGAUUGCAUUUCUUCGAUGCCUUUCGUGGCAACAAUUCGACCGGCCUUGAUCGUACGAUAUUCCUCGUCGAAAUUGUUUGGCUGCCGCUGCCUUUUUUCCUCGUGAAUCCUCCCUUUGUUGCAAAUGAAAUCGCCAAGGACACGCUUACUCCCGGACGUAGCCAGCCAAAUGAUCGAACGAACACGAUUGUCCUUUGCGCCUCGUAUCAUGGGCAUUCUGGUUCUGGGGGGUAAUGGCGACCGAGGAGCAAUAGGAAUUAUUUAUCAGUGUCAACGAAAACAUGAGGAGUGUGGAGAAAUGGAUUCUUGAGUUUCAAAUACCACUGGUAUGCGCAUCUUUUUGAUCUGUUUUUUAAGUUUGGAAACUAGAUGGCGUUGUGUAGUUAUUUAUGGAAAGGUUGGCAAGAAUUGAUUGUUCUCGAUAAGAUGAAAUAUAAGUAAAUGGUUUUUCGUGAUUUCAACGAAAAUUUUUGCAUGAUAUUUUUUAUUAAUCUAUUUUUAAAUUUGGAGAUAAAUGGCGCAGCAUAGUUAUGAGUGUGUAGUUAUUUAUGGAAAAGUUGGCCAGAAAUUGAUAGUUUUAUUAUCUUUUUUAAAUGCUACAUUUAUUAAUAUUGCUUUCGUAUAUUAAAAAUUUUAAUAUUGCUUAUUCCAAUCUAACUUCCAACUUCCAGUUGCUUACUUCACAAAUUAUUUCUUCUUUCAAUUUCCUAUUUCCUUCUUCAAAUUCCUUGAUAUAGCCCAUCAACAAAAAAUGAUGGAAUAUGUCUCUCAGGAUUUUUAUAUUCAAGCUACCGAGAAUUGCCAAGCACGCACGUAGGAAGUAACAAGAUUCUUUCGUAGGCGAGCUUCGCUUGGCAAAGCGUGGAUAAUCAAUGGAAUAGAUAUCUACCCGAAAAAUUCAAAGUAUGAAGAGAAAAGAAGAUAAAUGAAGAAAAAAAA